rnacentral:rRNA from 1 species
UUGCUUGCAAGGGGUACUCGAGUGGCGAACGGGUGAGUAACACGUGGGUGAUCUGCCUUGCACUUCGGGAUAAGCCUGGGAAACUGGGUCUAAUACCGGAUAGGACCAUGCUUUAGUGUGUGUGGUGGAAAGUUUUUCGGUGCAAGAUGAGCCCGCGGCCUAUCAGCUUGUUGGUGGGGUAAUGGCCUACCAAGGCGACGACGGGUAGCCGGCCUGAGAGGGUGUACGGCCACAUUGGGACUGAGACACGGCCCAGACUCCUACGGGAGGCAGCAGUGGGGAAUAUUGCACAAUGGGCGCAAGCCUGAUGCAGCGACGCCGCGUGGGGGAUGACGGCCUUCGGGUUGUAAACUCCUUUCGCUAGGGAAGAAGCCUUUUGGUGACGGUACCUGGAUAAGAAGCACCGGCUAACUACGUGCCAGCAGCCGCGGUAAUACGUAGGGUGCGAGCGUUGUCCGGAAUUACUGGGCGUAAAGAGCUCGUAGGUGGUUUGUCGCGUCGUCUGUGAAAUCCCGGGGCUUAACUUCGGGCGUGCAGGCGAUACGGGCAUAACUAGAGUGCUGUAGGGGAGACUGGAAUUCCUGGUGUAGCGGUGAAAUGCGCAGAUAUCAGGAGGAACACCGAUGGCGAAGGCAGGUCUCUGGGCAGUUACUGACGCUGAGGAGCGAAAGCAUGGGUAGCGAACAGGAUUAGAUACCCU